ensembl:snoRNA
UUCCUUUCAUAGUUCAUAUGUGUGAUGAUUGGGUGUUCGUGCUCAUGCGUGAGAUGUGCUUCCCUUACGCCUUGUUCAGACAUGAGCACUUUACCAUCUGAUG